rnacentral:rRNA from 1 species
UACGUAGGGGGCGAGCGUUGUCCGGAUUCAUUGGGCGUAAAGCGCGCGUAGGCGGCUCCGCAAGUCGGCCGUGAAAUCUCCGGGCUCAACUCGGAGGGGUCGGGCGAGACUGCGAGGCUCGAGGUGGGCAGAGGGCAGUGGAAUUCCGGGUGUAGUGGUGGAAUGCGUAGAGAUCCGGAGGAACACCAGUGGCGAAGGCGGCUGCCUGGGCCUGGCCUGACGCUGAGGCGCGAAAGCUAGGGGAGCAAACGGG